UUGGCUUCUGAUACCAUUAAAUGACUAAUUGAUAUGCUAUGUCUGCUCACUACCCAUUUUACAUUUUCACAUUUGCUUUUGGUCAUUGCACAGACAUAUGGACUAAGCUCAACCGCCCCAAGCUUAUCACGUGAAUGCCUAGCCAAUCAUUCCUGCAGAUCGACUUCACGAGGCACUUUGACAAAAGGGAGCUCAGUUGCACCAAAUUUAGGUAACUAAACAACUGGCCAAAGCCCUCUUUCUGAGGUGGAACUACAUAUUUUGUCUAUGAAUGGCUGCCUCUAGUACAAUUUAUGAGUCUAUGACAGAUAAUAUAGACAUAUGAACAGAACACAGAUAUACUUCCAAGUACCCUUUGCUUCAUGACUUCUUCACAUGCGUUAAAAAUGUGUUUACCGACAUGUGAUGCUGAUCUCUUCUUCUGCCAUGUUUGGAGUGUUUGUUUGAUUUUACAAUAAUGGUAGGCAGUCACUUUGUUUUAUGGGAAAGAGGAUUGGCAAAUUUAAGGUAACCUAGAGGCAUGUAAGCUCGGUUUUGCUGAGGUUGCCGUGUUUGCACACGCCUCUCUGCAGUCAUUUCUGCAUCAAAACAUCAUCUAUGGUGAUGUUGUGUUUCCCCAUUUUUGUUAUGUGUUAGGUACAUAUGUUGGUUGAGACUCAUGGUGCCAUUACUAGGACUACCAAAACCAUUACUGGAUGGUUUAACAAUGGCUUUCCACCAUGUGGUUGUUGAACAGUCCCCUCUUCCCUCCCCCAUGUGCAGAAAUCAAUACUUGAAUAUGGGGAUUAUGUCUGUCUUCAUCACUGCUGGGUGUUGCUGCUCAUAAAUAUAAAUUCUAGCUGGGAGAGAACAAUGUUGUUAUUAAGGCCAUGUACUAGCUGUUGGAAAAUUUUAUUCCAUCUAACUCAUGGAUCAUUCUCAUUCUCAUUA